rnacentral:rRNA from 1 species
AUUGAACGCUGGCGGCAUGCCUUACACAUGCAAGUCGAACGGUAACGCGGGGCAACCUGGCGACGAGUGGCGAACGGGUGAGUAAUAUAUCGGAACGUGCCCAGUAGUGGGGGAUAGCCCGGCGAAAGCCGGAUUAAUACCGCAUGAGACCUGAGGGUGAAAGCGGGGGAUCGCAAGACCUCGCGCUAUUGGAGCGGCCGAUAUCAGAUUAGGUAGUUGGUGGGGUAAAGGCCUACCAAGCCGACGAUCUGUAGCUGGUCUGAGAGGACGACCAGCCACACUGGGACUGAGACACGGCCCAGACUCCUACGGGAGGCAGCAGUGGGGAAUUUUGGACAAUGGGCGCAAGCCUGAUCCAGCCAUGCCGCGUGCGGGAAGAAGGCCUCGGUUGUAACGACUUUGUCUAGGAGAAGUACUUCUGGCGUAAGUACCUCGGACGGAGUGACGGUACC